AUCCCCUGGCAAUGGGCAAAGCAAUACUUUGUUGGUGAUGUUGUUCUUACGUCAAUCAGGGGCAGAGCAGUUGGUAGUCCUCUGUUCAUCCUAGCUUGAUUCCUGGCUUGGUGAGCAAAGCUAUUGUAUACCUAAAAAUCAAAU